GGANUGCGAAUGGGGGAACCCUGACGCAGCAACGCCGCGUGGGUGAUGAAGGCCUUCGGGUCGUAAAGCCCUGUCAGGUGGGAAGAAACUUACGGAUGCUAAUAUCAUUCGUACUUGACGGUACCACCGGAGGAAGCACCGGCUAACUCCGUGCCAGCAGCCGCGGUAAUACGGAGGGUGCAAGCGUUGUUCGGAAUUAUUGGGCGUAAAGCGCAUGUAGGCGGUCGGGUAAGUCAGAUGUGAAAGCCUUCCGCUUAACGGAAGAAGUGCAUUUGAAACUACUCGGCUGGAGUACGGGAGAGGAGAGUGGAAUUCCCGGUGUAGAGGUGAAAUUCGUAGAUAUCGGGAGGAACACCAGUGGCGAAGGCGGCUCUCUGGUCCGAUACUGACGCUGAGAUGCGAAAGCGUGGGGAGCAAACAGGAUUAGAUCCCCUGGUAGUCCACGCCGUAAACGAUGGGCACUAGGUGUAGGAGGUAUUGACCCCUUCUGUGCCGAAGCUAACGCAUUAAGUGCCCCGCCUGGGGAGUACGGCCGCAAGGCUAAAACUCAAAAAAAUUGACGGA
rnacentral:rRNA from 1 species